rnacentral:rRNA from 1 species
AUUGAACGCUGGCGGCAUGCUUUACACAUGCAAGUCGAACGGCAGCGCGGGCUUCGGCCUGGCGGCGAGUGGCGAACGGGUGAGUAAUACAUCGGAACGUGCCCAGUAGUGGGGGAUAGCUCGGCGAAAGCCGGAUUAAUACCGCAUACGACCUGAGGGUGAAAGCGGGGGAUCUUCGGACCUCGCGCUAUUGGAGCGGCCGAUGGCAGAUUAGCUAGUUGGUGGGGUAAAGGCCUACCAAGGCGACGAUCUGUAGCUGGUCUGAGAGGACGACCAGCCACACUGGGACUGAGACACGGCCCAGACUCCUACGGGAGGCAGCAGUGGGGAAUUUUGGACAAUGGGCGAAAGCCUGAUCCAGCAUUGCCGCGUGUGUGAUGAAGGCCUUCGGGUUGUAAAGCACUUUUGGCGGGAACGAAAAGGACUGUGCCAAUACCACGGUUCGAUGACGGUACCCGCAGAAUAAGCACCGGCUAACUACGUG